AUACGCUCCUUUGAAAAAAAAACACCCGACACUUUCAUGAUUCAACUGUUUUCAAACACUGCAAACACUAAGGUGCAUUUUGAGCUGAUAGGACGGUACAGCUAGCAGCGGCAUUGUAUCUGGCGUUGGACAGUAUCUUAAGUUAAAAAAUCAUAAUGUUAACGUAAAGUUUUUCUACAAUAUUGAACAUAACUCACAAUCUUGAUUUAGAUGCUUGCUGGUUGUUCUUAAAAUUCAUCAAAUUUGUAUUUUUAUUAGAUUUAUGGGCUCGAUCCCAAAGAAGGGGAUAUACUAAAUGGAGGCAAACCCGGUAAAAAAAGAAAAUAAAUAUUGGACAAGAAAGGAGACAUAAUGAAUUAGCUGUUGACGAAGGGGGUUAAGAACGUGUUAUUAUCGACUUGCUUAGACUUUUGCAGGCUAACGAGAGAUCUGGGCACUUCAAAUAAGUGAGACAGCCAAGAGUAAGACAACCACAAAUAUCUUCUUUCGUACCUUUUUUAUGAAUUCUUUAUAAUUCCACGUCACUGGAUAAUAUUGCAUUUAACUUUAUUUGUUUAUUUAAUUUUUGUAACAUCGUCAUGAAGGAACCAACUUCGGGCGUACUACAAGUGGCCCGUUUAUUGCUACAAGCUAUGACUAUCAUGCUUCUCCUAAUGAAUAUAGUAUGUUAUAAGCAGAGAAAAUUGCUACCAUUUAAAUGGUACAGCCUAUGUAUAUUGUUCAACCAUUGUUUACAUCAUUUAAAUGGUCCGACC